GCUAGAGAUCCGACAGACAGCUAUCUUUGCUGAAAUCCUAAUACUCACAGAAGAAGGACUUCAUGGAUUUAAAGCCCUGGCAUUUCUCCACGGCGAUGUGGGCUAGAAUCCAAAUUGGGUCAAAAUGCCAAAAAACAUUCCCCGUGUUUGCCCGAGGCUCACAGUCCUCCGGCCUGACUUCUUAAAAUGAAGAAACUCUGGAAAGAACACUGUUCGAAUCAGUCAUUCCUAACCCAUUUGGCAGCUCCAGGAAUCAAACUACAGUCCCUCGAGUUCAAUGAGAUUAACAUGCCAGCCCACUAAUUUUCCUCCAAAGAGCCCUGGAAUGAAUAUAAUACAGCACGACAAUGCAUCAGCACCGAUGUUACGACUGAAGUGGAUUAGCAGGGCUUUCAGAAACUACCUCGCUCAGUUCUGUCUGGGAUCAGCAAAAAUGAUGAAAACACUCAAAUUAAUCAUUUUUAUUAACUGGAGUGGAGGUGUGGGGCAGAGGGGAAGAAGCGUUUAAAACUUCAUUGUGCAAUGAGACAAAUUGGAGUUCUGCUGGCGGAAUUGUCCUUGGGGCAGCAUGAUGUCAUUCGGUUCACAGAAUAAAAUGCUAAAUGAAUGGCCACAAGCUGCAUGCACUUUAUCACCACAUCAAAUGCAACAGGCCUCUUUGUUCCGAACCUCUCGGUGUGUGGAGCUUGUCCAGAUGAGAGACAGCCACAUUGCAUUCUGUUGCAUCAUACAAUGCAAGCCGUGGGCUCACCAGCACAAUGAUUACUCUCCCACUGGCCAGACACAGCUGAGAUUCAGAAGAGGCCCUUCCACACUCCAGCAGGAGCCUGGGAUUUCGAAUCGUCAUGGACUGGUCAACGAGGAAGCGUUUCUGUGACAAACUUAGGGUGGACAUCCUGGAGACGGCCAACCAGCAGGUGCAGUACCAAAGGGGAAAGGCGUCUCAGCAAGUGGAAAGGCAGCAGAGCACUGGGGCAGAGGAGGAGAGACUGCCUCUGGAGCAGGACUGCAGCAAAAAGACCUGUUUGAGGGGCUGCUUGCACUAAUGGCCACAAGGCUUCUGCCCCAUGUUCCGAGUGCCCUCCAGGGUGCCGUGUCUUGCGGGCCAGGAAUGCAUUGGACAAUACCAUGGUCCGGUGACCCGUGCUGCUUGGACAGGGUAAAAGUACUCCUGGCAGUCCUCCCUCCCUCGCAGCCCUCCAUGCACCUUCAGCAGCUCCACGUUGGUGGUAGAAAUGAGGAGGAGAAAGGGGGCUCUGGGCCAUGCAAAGGUAGGCAAUUUGUUUGCACUGGCUUCACUGUUUUGCACUGUUCGUUGUUUGUGUUAUGCAAUUUAUGUCAUUACUGGUUUGGAUGUUGGCUUAUUACUGGUGUUUUGGUGUUGGGAUGGCAGCUGGCCUGCCGGACAAUGCUUCAUAUUGGGUAAUGUUACCAGGGACUGUAACCGCUAGGCAGCAUGGCCACUGACUCUCGCCAUUGGAUGACAUAGCCUGGAGUAUCUCCACUAGGCAGUACUGCCAGCCUUGGACUCAAAACACCCUUUGACAAACCAGAUCCAGAAAUUCUAAACUAGGGUCACUCUUCAGUGUGGACGCACGAGCCCGGGUUUACAAACACUACGCCAGUGGGCUCGAGUCCCACUGACGCUGGGAUUACAUUGUGAGGCAGACAUUCCAAAAGGCUCUGAUCCUGCACAUGCCUGCUUAAUUUGACUCUCGCGAUUCAUCUAAUUUAGGUCAAGGGGAGUCCCUGCAUCCUUACAGUGAAAUCUCUGAGCAAGUGGCUUCAGGAUCAGGGCAGGGCUCUCACAUUUCACAGCCAAGCCAUUGGGAGAUUUUUUUAAGGUCAGGUACAUGUUACUGUGAGACAACAUAGCAGCUAAUAAAGUACAAUAU